UACGGAGGAUCCAAGCGUUAUCCGGCUUUAUUGGGUUUAAAGGGUGCGUAGGCGGCGUUGUAAGUCAGUGGUGAAAGUUUUCAGCUUAACUGGAAAAUUGCCAUUGAUACUGCAGUGCUUGAGUACAGAUGAGGUGGGCGGAAUGUGUCAUGUAGCGGUGAAAUGCAUAGAUAUGUCACAGAACAACGAUUGCGAAGGCAGCUUACUAAGGUUUUAAUGACGCUGAGGCACGAAAGCGUGGGGAUCAAACAGG
rnacentral:rRNA from 1 species